UACAAAUAGAAGCCUCUGGGUUUAUUCUGUGGCACAAUUGUGAAAUAACUAGACCACCUUAUUGAGGAUGAUAAUACUCUAUGUUCAGUCUCCAGAUUUUUUCAAAUGAAAUGAAUAGAUAAUUGGAACUGCAGAUGCUGGAGAAUCCAAGACAAACAUGAUGAAAGGUCUAGUCUCAAAAUGUCAACUUUCCUGCUCCAAUGGUGCUUGGCCUGCUGUGUUCAUCCAGCUCUAUACGUUGGUUUAUGACAUAGCUCUGAUACUUUUAAUAUCCGAAUUUGAAGGAUGAUGUUGGUGGACGAGAAUAACAGACAUUGGCUCCAGCAGUAAAUUUUGGAAGUGCCAUCUUCAGGGAGCUGGGAAGAUCCACCUGGAGUAUCUCAACAGUGCAGAAGGAGGCCAUUCAGCUCAUCAUGCAAGCACCAGCUCUCCAAUCAAGCAUCAUUACAGUGUGAAAAUCUCUUGUUGUUACUCCAUACCCUUGCACGCUAUUUCUGUCCAAAUAAUUAUCAAAUGCCCUUUUGAAUGCUGUAAAUAAUAAAAGAAAUAGCU